GAGGAAUAGCCACCGAAAGGUGGUCUAAUACUUCAUAAUAUCCAUCUCGUAUGGAUUAAAGCUUUAUGCGCUUUGGGAGGGGCCUGCGUAACAUUAGCUUGUUGGUGAGGUAAAAAGCUCACCAAGGCUUCGAUGUUUAACUGGUUUGAGAGGAUGACCAGUCACACUGGGACUGAGAUACGGCCCAGACUCCUACGGGAGGCAGCAGUAAGGAAUCUUCCACAAUGGGGCAACCCUGAUGGAGCAAUACCGCGUGCAGGAUGAAGCGUUUCGGCGUGUAAACUGCUUUUAUCACCGAAGAUUAUGACUGUAGGUGAAGAAUAAGGACCGGCUAACUACGUG
rnacentral:rRNA from 1 species